UAUUUGUUUUGAAUCAUGGCUCAGAUUGAACGCUGGCGGCAGGCCUAACACAUGCAAGUCGAGCGGAAACGAGUUAACUGAACCUUCGGGGAACGUUAACGGCGUCGAGCGGCGGACGGGUGAGUAAUGCCUGGGAAUAUGCCUUGAUGUGGGGGAUAACCAUUGGAAACGAUGGCUAAUACCGCAUAAUACCUUCGGGUCAAAGAGGGGGAUCUUCGGGCCUCUCGCGUCAGGAUAUGCCCAGGUGGGAUUAGCUAGUUGGUGAGGUAAUGGCUCACCAAGGCGACGAUCCCUAGCUGGUCUGAGAGGAUGAUCAGCCACACUGGAACUGAGACACGGUCCAGACUCCUACGGGAGGCAGCAGUGGGGAAUAUUGCACAAUGGGCGCAAGCCUGAUGCAGCCAUGCCGCGUGUGUGAAGAAGGCCUUCGGGUUGUAAAGCACUUUCAGUCGUGAGGAAGGUAGUGUAGUUAAUAGCUGCAUUAUUUGACGUUAGCGACAGAAGAAGCACCGGCUAAUUCCGUGCCAGCAGCCGCGGUAAUACGGAGGGUGCGAGCGUUAAUCGGAAUUACUGGGCGUAAAGCGCAUGCAGGUGGUUAGUUAAGUCAGAUGUGAAAGCCCGGGGCUCAACCUCGGAACUGCAUUUGAAACUGGCUGACUAGAGUACUGUAGAGGGGGGUAGAAUUUCAGGUGUAGCGGUGAAAUGCGUAGAGAUCUGAAGGAAUACCAGUGGCGAAGGCGGCCCCCUGGACAGAUACUGACACUCAGAUGCGAAAGCGUGGGGAGCAAACAGGAUUAGAUACCCUGGUAGUCCACGCCGUAAACGAUGUCUACUUGGAGGUUGUGGCCUUGAGCCGUGGCUUUCGGAGCUAACGCGUUAAGUAGACCGCCUGGGGAGUACGGUCGCAAGAUUAAAACUCAAAUGAAUUGACGGGGGCCCGCACAAGCGGUGGAGCAUGUGGUUUAAUUCGAUGCAACGCGAAGAACCUUACCUACUCUUGACAUCCAGAGAACUUAGCAGAGAUGCUUUGGUGCCUUCGGGAACUCUGAGACAGGUGCUGCAUGGCUGUCGUCAGCUCGUGUUGUGAAAUGUUGGGUUAAGUCCCGCAACGAGCGCAACCCUUAUCCUUGUUUGCCAGCACUUCGGGUGGGAACUCCAGGGAGACUGCCGGUGAUAAACCGGAGGAAGGUGGGGACGACGUCAAGUCAUCAUGGCCCUUACGAGUAGGGCUACACACGUGCUACAAUGGCGCAUACAGAGGGCGGCCAACUUGCGAAAGUGAGCGAAUCCCAAAAAGUGCGUCGUAGUCCGGAUUGGAGUCUGCAACUCGACUCCAUGAAGUCGGAAUCGCUAGUAAUCGUGGAUCAGAAUGCCACGGUGAAUAC
rnacentral:rRNA from 1 species